GAGACACCCAGAUUGGGGAAGGACUUGCUUCAGUGGGGCUUUGAUGCUCACUGAGUCUGCCCCUUGAGUGUGUCGCU
rnacentral:pre_miRNA from 1 species